AAAGGAGUAACCGCACUGAGAUGGACCCGCGGCGCAUUAGCUAGUUGGUGAGGUAACGGCUCACCAAGGCCACGAUGCGUAGCCGACCUGAGAGGGUGAUCGGCCACAUUGGAACUGAGAUACGGUCCAGACUCCUACGGGAGGCAGCAGUGGGGAAUAUUGCACAAUGGGCGAAAGCCUGAUGCAGCAACGCCGCGUGAGUGAUGAAGGCCUUCGGGUUGUAAAGCUCUGUCUUUGGGGACGAUAAUGACGGUACCCGAGGAGGAAGCCACGGCUAACUACGUGCCAGCAGCGCGGUAAUACGUAGGUGGCAAGCGUUGUCCGGAUUUACUGGGCGUAAAGGAUGCGUAGGUGGAUAUGCAAGUCAGAUGUGAAAUACCCGGGCUUAACUCGGGUGCUGCAUUUGAAACUAUAUAUCUAGAGUGCAGGAGAGGUAAGUGGAAUUCCUAGUGUAGCGGUGAAAUGCGUAGAGAUUAGGAAGAACACCAGUGGCGAAGGCGACUUACUGGACUGUAACUGACACUGAGGCAUGAAAGCGUGGGAGCAAACAGGAUUAGAUACCCUGGUAGUCCACGCCGUAAACGAUGGGUACUAGGUGUAGGGGGUAUCGACUCCCUUGUGCCGCAGUUAACACAAUAAGUACCCCGCCUGGGGAGUACGGUCGCAAGAUUAAAACUCAAAGGAAUUGACGGGGACCCGCACAAGCAGCGGAGCAUGUGGUUUAAUUCGAAGCAACGCGAAGAACCUUACCUAGACUUGACAUCCCCUGCAUAACCUAGAGAUAGGCGAAGUCCUUCGGGACAGGGUGACAGGUGGUGCAUGGUUGUCGUCAGCUCGUGUCGUGAGAUGUUGGGUUAAGUCCCGCAACGAGCGCAACCCUUAUCAUUAGUUGCUACCAUUUAGUUGAGCACUCUAAUGAGACUGCCCGGGUUAACCGGGAGGAAGGUGGGGAUGACGUCAAAUCAUCAUGCCCCUUAUGUCUAGGGCUACACACGUGCUACAA
rnacentral:rRNA from 1 species